rnacentral:rRNA from 1 species
AUGGGCUCGACUCCUCUCCCUCUCGCCCACGAAGUCACCGCCGCCGCCGCCCACGCCGGCCGCUUCCGGCGAGCUCCGGCGCUGCGCAGCACAGCCCCGAGCUCCCCAUGCUCCGCGCCUCCCUCCCCUCCGGCCAGAUUCUCAUCUCCCGGCCUCUACCGCCCGCUCGCAACCACACCUCCAUGGCUAGGGUUCCGGGCAGUGCUUCGUCGGCGCGUCUCCGGCGGCCCCAGAUGCAGAUGGAGCACGCCAUGGGAGUUCCCCAUCCACCAUGGUCGCUGUCGUCAAGGGCUUCUUCAAGGAGAUGUGAAGGACGCCAUCGACCUGCAGCUACUCAAGGGUGAUCUAGCGAGUUAUCUUGAGACAAAAAGUCGCCUGCAAUCUUAUAAAGUGAUCAGAUUUGCCCCUGAGACUGCAAGGUCCCUCAAAGAGAAGCGUUUUUCAUGUGCUCCUGAAUCUGGUGUGCGGUAUGAUGGAGUUUACAUAUUGAGAACUGUUGGAGGAAGACUGGUAUUCAGCGCCGUUGGCCGCUCUGCCUACCGAGUGCCACCCCGCCGCCUCCUCCCACCCCCCACCUGGGACCUCACCGCCUGCUCCCCGCCCGGCACACCCACAACGCUUGAGGCUGAGCAGAUGCCAUUGGCCCGUGGGCACGGAAGCAGAGUCCAGGAUGGUGAUGGUGCCAAGGAGGACUCUCGGACGUCGACCGGUUGCAUCGUUGCUGCCGUAUCCAUGGAGUGGCGCGGCUCCAACCACUCUGAGAUGAUAUUCCUCUCUCUUUCUUUCCUGAAAGAACUAAGAAUCUUGUGUCAUCCUUUUUUUUAA